rnacentral:rRNA from 1 species
CCUACGGGGGGCAGCAGUGGGGAAUAUUGGACAAUGGGGGCAACCCUGAUCCAGCCAUGCCGCGUGUGUGAAGAAGGCCCUCGGGUUGUAAAGCACUUUCAGUGAGGAAGAACGCCUGGUGGUUAAUACCCAUCAGGAAAGACAUCACUCACAGAAGAAGCACCGGCUAACUCCGUGCCAGCAGCCGCGGUAAUACGGAGGGUGCGAGCGUUAAUCGGAAUUACUGGGCGUAAAGCGCGCGUAGGUGGCAUGAUAAGCCGGUUGUGAAAGCCCCGGGCUCAACCUGGGAACGGCAUCCGGAACUGUCAAGCUAGAGUGCAGGAGAGGAAGGUAGAAUUCCCGGUGUAGCGGUGAAAUGCGUAGAGAUCGGGAGGAAUACCAGUGGCGAAGGCGGCCUUCUGGACUGACACUGACACUGAGGUGCGAAAGCGUGGGUAGCAAACAGGAUUAGAUACCCCGGUAGUC